UUGAAGCGCGGGUAAGACCGCGUGGAGGACCGAACCCACCUGGGUUGAAAACCGGGGGGAUGACUUGGGGCUAGGGGUGAAAGGCCAAUCAAAUUCCGUGAUAGCUGGUUCUCUCCGAAAUGCAUUUGGGUGCAGCGUCGGGUCAUUACGUCCCGGGGGUAGAGCUACUGGAUGCUUGCGGGCCCGUAUCGGGUACCAACAGCAACCAAACUCCGAAUACCGGUGACGCGUAUCCCGGCAGUGAGUCGGCGGGGGAUAAGCUUCGUCGUCGAAAGGGAAACAGCCCAGACCGUCGUCUAAGGUCCCGAAGCGUGUGCUAAGUGGGAAAGGAUGUGGAGUCGCAUAGACAGCCAGGAGGUUGGCUCAGAAGCAGCCACCCUUGAAAGAGUGCGUAACAGCUCACUGGUCUAGUGGUUCCGCGCCGACAAUGUAGCGGGGCUCAAGCACACCACCGAAGACGCGGCAGUAUUUUGUACUGGGUAGGAGAGCGUCCCAUGAGGGGCGAAGCGGCCGUGUGAACGCGCCGUGGACUUCAUGGGAGUGAGAAUGCAGACAUGAGUAGCGAGAGACGGGUGAAGAUCCCGUCCGCUGGAUGACCAAGGGUUCCAGGGCCACGUUCAUCGUCCCUGGGUGAGUCGGGUCCUAAGGCGAGGCCGACAGGCGUAGUCGAAUGGAUGAACGGGUCGAUAUUCCCGUACCGGCUUUCAGCCGCCAAAACCGAGGCUUGGAGUACUAACCUCCGGGUCCGGGCUUACUGCUCCUUCGGGGGCGGGAUGCCCUGGCCUGUUGGGACCGAUCCUUGUAGUAGGUCAGCGCAGGAGUGACGCAGAAGGGUAGCCGGCCGCGGAGGUGGUCUUCCGUGGUCAAGCACGCAGGGCGUGGGACAGGCAAAUCCGUCCCGCAUGGGUCCGAGGUGCGAUGAUGGGGGCCUUAUGGCCCGAUAUCCGGUGAUCCCGGCUGCCGAGAAAAGCUUCGGCGUCAGGCUCAAAGCCGCCCGUACCCCAAACCGACACUGGUGGUCAGGUAGAGAAUACCAAAGCGAUCGAGCGAAUCCUGGUCAAGGAACUCGGCAAAUCACUCCCGUUCCUUCGGUUUAAGGGAGACCCCCGAUGGUGAACACACUUGCUGUGGGAGCUUUUGGGGGUGGCACAGACCAGGGGGUAGCGACUGUUUACCAAAAACACAGGUGCAUGCGAAGGCGCAAGCCGCUGUAUAUGCACUGACGCCUGCCCGGUGCCGGAAGGUUAAGAGGAUCCGUCAGCCUUCGGGUGAAGCGGUGAAUUCAAGCCCCGGUAAACGGCGGUGGUAACUAUAACCAUCCUAAGGUAGCGAAAUUCCUUGUCGGGUAAGUUCCGACCUGCACGAAUGGCGUAACGACUUCCCCACUGUCUCGACCAGGAGCUCGGCGAAAUUGCAGUACGAGUAAAGAUGCUCGUUAAGCGCAGAAGGACGAAAAGACCCCGGGACCUUUACUAUACCUUGGUAUUGGCAUUCGGUGUGGAUUGUGUAGCAUAGGCGGGAGGCCGAGAGGCGCGGUCGCCAGAUCGCGCGGAGCCGUAAGGUGAAAUACCGCUCUGUUCGCAUUGGAUGUCUAACCUCGAACAGUCAUCCUGUUCAGGGACAGUGCCUGGCGGGUAGUUUAACUGGGGCGGUUGCCUCCCAAAGAGUAACGGAGGCGCCCAAAGGUCCGCUCAGCCCGGUUGGCAAUCGGGUGGCGAGUGCAAGUGCACAAGCGGGCUUGACUGCGAGGACGACGGUCCGAGCAGGGACGAAAGUCGGGACUAGUGAUCCGGUGCCGGUGUACGGACGCGGCAUCGCUCAACGGAUAAAAGGUACCCCGGGGAUAACAGGCUGAUCAUUCCCAAGAGUCCAUAUCGACGGGAUGGUUUGGCACCUCGAUGUCGGCUCGUCGCAUCCUGGGGCUGGAGCAGGUCCCAAGGGUUCGGCUGUUCGCCGAUUAAAGCGGCACGCGAGCUGGGUUCAGAACGUCGUGAGACAGUUUGGUCUCUAUCCUCUGCGCUCGUUGGAAUGCUGAGGAGGCCUGCCCAUAGUACGAGAGGACCUGGGUGGACGAACCUCUGGUAUGCCGGUUGUCACGCCAGUGGCACGGCCGGUUGGCUACGUUCGGAAGGGAUAACCGCUGAAAGCAUCUAAGCGGGAAGCCUGCUCCAAGAUAAGCAUUCCGUGGAACCUUCGAGUUCCUGUAGUCCCCAUGCAGAACACGUGGUCGAUAGGCCGGACGUGGAAGCCCCGCGAGGGGUGGAGCCGACCGGUACUAACGGACGAAAGGCAACACUAA
rnacentral:rRNA from 1 species